rnacentral:rRNA from 1 species
CGUUGUUCGGAAUUACUGGGCGUAAAGGGCUCGUAGGCGUCCAACUAAGUCGGACGUGAAAUCCCUCGGCUUAACCGGGGAACUGCGUCCGAUACUGGAUGGCUGGAGGAUGGGAGAGGGAUGCGGAAUUCCAGGUGUAGCGGUGAAAUGCGUAGAUAUCUGGAGGAACACCGGUGGCGAAGGCGGCAUCCUGGACCAUUACUGACGCUGAGUGAGCGAAAGCCAGGGGAGCAAACGGG